UAGCCGUAAACGAUACUCGCUAGGUGUCGGCCACGGUGCGACCGUUGUCGGUGCCGUAGGGAAGCCGUGAAGCGAGCCACCUGGGAAGUACGGCCGCAAGGCUGAAACUUAAGGAUUGGCGGGGGAGCACCACAACGGGUGGAGCCUGCGGUUUAAUUGGACUCAACGCCGGGAAGCUCACCGGAUAAGACAGCGGAAUGAUUGCCGGGCUGAAGACUCUGCAUGACUAGCUGAGAGGUGGUGCAUGGCGUAGACGUCU
rnacentral:rRNA from 1 species